CUGGAUACCAGCUCCCCGCUACCCUGCGCACGGCGGGCUGGCUUCGGGCCCGGGGAAGCGGAGCAGUCUGACGACAGUCGUUCGGUGUGGCACUGUUGGUGGUGAGGCGAGGGAGGAAGUCGAGGAGAAAACUGCACAGGAUCAGCGGAGAUCUUCCCAUAGGCCCACAGUAGGGCUGUUUACCCCCUGAAAGCACGAGAAAGUGGGAGACGGGCCCGGAACCCUGGAGGUUGGUGCGAAGGUGGGCAGCGCCUGGGUAUAACAAGAGAGGGUCUGCCUGCAGGUCUGAAAGGUUUGAGAUCACUGGACACAAAGAAACAAGGAGGAAAUUAUUCCCAAAUGAUAUAGACUGGGUAUAUCUCCAAUCAAGAGAAGGAAAGAGGAGGGAACUACCUUGACCAUUGCAGGAAGACCUGUAUUGCUAUGAAUUUCCCUCUGAGCACUGCUUCUGUGGCAUCCCAUAGAUUUUGAGUGGUUGUGUCUUCAUUAUCAUUCGUCUUGAGGUUUUGAUCCCAAGAGCAUUCCCUGAUAAAAGCCCUUCAUGCUGAACACUGUCUCUGAGUCUUCUCUCCAGGAAGCCAACCUACAACAGUUGGUACAAGAAGAGGUUCAGAAAAGCAUAUACAGGGAUGAAAUUUUGGAGAUGGAUAACCUGAUGCUUAGUGGCAGUGAGGACCCCAUCAUUCGUGGUAGAAGAAGUUACUUGCCUGCUGACCACAAGCACUCAGACCCAAGACAGUUUGGAACCAGAAGGUUGACGAUAUUGACUCCUGAUUACAUCACUACCAGCCAAUCAGAAGAAGGUCCACGAAACCUCCUCCCUCACCUUGUCUUUAAAAACCUUUCCCUAAAAGCCACUGGGGAGUUCAGGUCUUUUGAGCAUGAGCUGCCUGGACUUCUUGCUUGGUGUCCUGCAAUAAAUGCUGCAUUUUCCUUCACCACAACACAGUGUCGGUAGAUUGGCUUUACUUCAUGGACCGAAAUUUGGUUCAGUAACAAUUUGUCCAUCUAUAUGGGAUGGCAGUUCCAAGUAAGUGCCUUGCCCAUGGAACAUUGGCUCCUUGCUGGUGGUAGCUCUAGGAUCCUGUCUAGCAGCUGAAGAGCACCUUUUUCUCAGGGUCAGCCCCAAGGACUUGCCACUAACCAGGUGUCACUGGCCUGUGGCACUAUCAAUUCUGUGGUGAAGGAAAUAAGGCUCUGUCUGUUUGUUUCCAGUAAUAUCCCCUUUUGAUAAAUAAAUCUUUCUCUUUUAACUGACGGAUGUUUGGGGCUCAAUACAGUAGAGCGAGUCGCUUUGGUGUGCACAACUGAAAACUCCAUUCGUUGCCAUCCUGGGCUCUUCCUCCCCCAAAUAAGCCCAUUUGUUUUGUAUUUGUGUGGGGUACCCUCUUGGAGAGGAGAGUGGUACCCCAAUUUGUGAACCAGUCUGUUGUUUCUUUGAAUGCUAGCAUUUGGUUUGGGGGAGGCACCAUUUUCAUUUUGUCUUUCUGUUUUUAAAGGCUGAGGAACCUUUCAUCUAUUCCUAAUAGAUUUUGGAAAAAUGGUUUGAUUAUAACUAUAAAUCUAUGACUAAGGAAAAAAUGAUUUUUUAAAAUAUUGCAUAUUCACAAUAUUCUUUAGACUCCAGAGAAAAUUGGUUAAGAUGAAACUCUUGAAAUUCCAAAAUGGCUCCUUUUUGCAUAUAAAGUUAGAGUAGCUGGCUUGAUAAAAUACUUCUUUCAGAAUUUUGACCCUGAGAAAACAAAAAUAUUUUGCCCCACCUCCUGAUCCAUUUCCUGCCUUCCUCAGUCCUGUUCUAUGCCCUAGGAGGCUUAUCCAUAAGGACUAUAUCCCUCAAGCUCCAUUUCUGGUUGGAGUCUCUUUGGGAUUGAUUAUUCAAUGAAGUGUACUGACAGAACUUUGGAAGGCAGAGAGUGAAGACAAGGUUUUGUUUCUUUCUCUCUCCCUGAUUUGGGCUGUGUUUUACUUUUAUUUUUUAUUUUUUUGUCUUUCCUGGGCCUCGCCCAUGUGGAGGUUCCCAGGCUAGGGGUCAAAUAGGAGCUGUAGCCGUCGGCCUACGCCAAAGCCACAGCAACACAGGAUCCGAGCCGCGUCUGCGACCUACACCACAGCUCAUGGCAACGCUGGAUCGUUAACCCACUGAGCAAGGCCAGGGAUCGAACCUGCGACCUCAUGGUCCUUAGUUGGAUUUGUUGCUGCUGUGCCAUGAUGGGAACUCUGAGGGCUGUGUUUUAUUAACAGUGACUGCAGUAAUUUUAUUGGUAGUGAUGGGCCAAGACUAUCUCCUGCAAAAUGGUAUCAUCUCCAUAGCUCUUGCUCUCACUAGGUUCUAUU
rnacentral:lncRNA from 1 species